UUUUUGACGCUGAAAAGAAGAGUAGUAGAAAAAAACUGCAAAGAGAGCCUUUGGGUGGUGUAAAAAGGUCAGUUGUUUUUUAUGAAACACAUCUUGGAGUUGCAUUUUUGAAUAAAGUAAAAAAUGCCGGGUUAGCCCGUUAUCGCUGCGGUCAUUGUUGGAUGGCUAGACAAAAAGGCUGACAGCCAGAGGAGAAAUAAACAAUAAACUUGUGAAAUAAUCAACAAGCCCACCUCUUUUGUUAGCUUGAUCGCAUAAGGUCUAUUAUUGCAUAGAUAAAUUGAGGUGGAACCACGCGUGUUAGCGUCCUCUGA
rnacentral:ncRNA from 1 species